AUCGAUAGUGAAUGAUGACCGGCUUAGUGACUCCGUAGAAAUGGUCGAUGAACUUGGGAACUCGGCCUCUGGAAAUUUGCUUGAGUUUAUAGCCGGAUUGGUGAUUAAGGCAAUUGUGUUAGUUAGUUUAUUUGUUAAAUUUAUUACGUUUCCCAUAUGGACUUUACAUUUCUCCUAUAUGUUUGUUAUUGACCCCGUUGGAGCCAUGAGGCGUGGCAGAGGAUUUAUCGUGAAAACAUUGAUCGGGUUAUUGAACUUGAUGAGUGGGUUUUUAAGUCCACUGAUAACCGGCUGGUUAAAGGAACAUAUGUUGAUAUGGAAGCUUUUGGUGCGAUUUGGGUGGGGGAUGAUCUGGUCUUUUUAUGUUUGUAUUAUUUUGUGUGGAUUAUUGGUUUUCUCGAUGAUGGUUAGUGGCUCUUUGAUCAGAAAUUUGGUGGAGAAUCCAGUGCAGAUGAAGGAAGAAUUGAAUUUUGAUUACACACAGAAUAGCCCUGUUGCAUUUGUGCCAAUAAUGUCAUGUCGUGGUGUUGGUUGUGGUGUAAAUUGUGAAGAAAAGAGUUUGGGGCCACGGGUUAUACCACCUAAUCAUAAGUUGGAAGUUAAUGUUCUAUUAACAUUGCCAGAGUCUGGAUAUAACAGAAAUCUUGGGAUUUUUCAGGUCCGGGUGGAUUUCCUGUCUGGAGAUGGUAAAACCCUUAGCAGCAAAAGACAGCUGUGCAUGUUAAAAUUCAGAAGCGAACCUAUCCGCUUCCUACUAACUUUCUUUAAGCUAGCACCUCUGGUCACUGGCUACAUGUUAGAAUCCCAAAUUCUAAAGGUAAAGUUUAGAGGUUUUAAGGAAGGAGAUGUGCCUACUUCCUGCCUAAAAGUGAUAAUUGAGCAACGAGCUGAGUUCCGGCUUGCAGGUGGUAUCCCAGAAAUAUAUGAUGCAUCCCUUAUACUUGAGUCUGAACUUCCUGUAGUAAAAUGGAUUAUAUGGUCCUGGAAGAAAACCAUGUUUGUAUGGAUCACCAUGAUGUUGUUUAUAAUAGAAUUGUUGUUCGCCCUAAUCUGUUGUAGACCUGUAAUUAUUCCGAGAACGAGGCCAAGAGAUGUUCCUGCUGUCAACAAUUCAACUCCAAAAAAUCUCUCAGAACUAGGUUCGGGACAAGGUUUUCACGUGUCAGAUGGUAACGCUGAAAGUAAAGAUUGAACCUCCAACUGCAGUAGUACAUUUUCUGGACCAUAUACUCAUUUAAGAAUAUUUCUGUGCAACUUAAGCUAAAGCAGCUUACACUGUAACACAGUUACCCGGAACGUGGUCGCAACCGGUCGAGGUAUGGUUAUGGAAACGUGAUUGGCCACUUGGUUAUUUUUUGAUAUUUCAGGGAUAGGCUUAGUCAGUUUGCUUUUUCGGGAUGCCACGAUUGAAUCGAAAUUUGAGUUCAUUGAGUGAAAAAUGACAAUCUGUACGCUAGUUUACCCAUAUAUUUAAAAGUACAAAUAAAUGGGUAAACUAGCGUACAG
rnacentral:misc_RNA from 1 species